rnacentral:misc_RNA from 1 species
GCCAUUAAAAAAAUGACACAUAAUUAAUGGAGAAAUUAAAGAGUAAAAGAAGUCAAGAUCUAUCCAAGAACAGCUGUGCUUCAGUGCUCUUACCGACAGCUCAACACCAAUACAUAUAUCGGAACAAUAUAAGCCACAAAUUACUUCAGUCAAAUUGGAAAAGAAAAGAAAAUAAAAGAAAAUAAAGCCCUUAAAAUUUGACAAACAAACAGAAAUAUAAUUAUUCUUUUAUUUUUUUGUACUUAGUUUCUGGACCUUUUGUGAAUUUUAAUUAAUGGAAAUAUCGAUAGCAUGUCUGCUACAUAUAUAGAGACAUAGUUGAUUUGUAGGAAAAAGGGAUAGGUAGCAUAUUCAUGUGCUUUUGUAGCUAGCAACAAAACAGUAAUGGCCAAAAAUGCAGUCAAAUGGACCAUGCAGAUUGGAAGCAACUCAGCUCUCCAUAUCCUUCUCUCCACCAUUUCUGCCUCUCCUGUGCUCCAGGUGAAUUUGUUCCCUGCAUCAUUAAUGUUUCAUUUUUCUCACUUAGCAAAACAUAAAUACAAUUAAAUUCAUUUUUCAUGCAAGUUAGAGCUUAUGAGUUAAUUAUGAGAUACAAUGGAUUCAUACAUGAAAUGUCACUUAUAUCACUUAUUCGACGUGUCAUUGUGUUUUUAGUGGGAGAAGUACUUUUCUUGGUCACUUUUUCUUUUCAUAUAUAUUAUAUACUAAUAUAAUAAUUUUAUUUAAUAAAAAAAUCUAUUGACCUUAUCUUGUAAUAGGUUAGGCAAACAAAAUAAGGCAGCCUAGUAAGGACUCAAGAUUUUAGGAGGCUUUUCUCUUCCUUCUUUUUCUAUUUUUAACUUUUUUUAAGUUGAGAAAUAGCUUAAAUUAGAAAAGCACCUGAGCCUUUUUGGAAGAUUCUGUUUGCAAGUUGAGGUCAUAUGAACAACUUGCUGCUGCAAGCUCCAUGGAAAGGAACUCAACCUGAUUCUGCAGGGAGUGGACAUAAUUGAUUAUCUCCUCUAGCAUAACUGCCAUUCCCAUUGACUUGUGGCAUCCAGGAACAAGGUCCUGCAAACAUCUCAACUUGUUAUUGAUUUUCUCUCUUCUUACCCUUUCUGCUAUACUAUGACUAUCAGUAGCUUGGCCUCUUUUUGCUCUAACAUGAAUAACUUCUUCUGCUUCAUCCACUUCUUUCUCUUUGUUCUUUCCUUUUUUACCUCUGCCUAACUUAUUCUUUUUCUUUGUAUUGGAAGUAGAGGCAGUGGCAGAAAUGUUCUUGGAACUGCUGGUUGAUUGUGCCUCUGCUUUUCUCUUCUUGCAGCUGUCACGGAAAACAUUUUGACUCGAGGUGGAAGUGACAGUAUGAACAAUUGGUGCAGAAUUCAAGAUGUCAGGGUGAUGGAAAGCACUUGAAAUACUAUUGUGACCAUAGCUUGCUGGAAAUUCAGGAGGUUGUUGGAGGUGGGCCAAGAAAGAGUCUACUGAGAAGUUACUGACACUGAAAUUCUCUAAGGUGCUUGGAUUUAGCUCUGGGAGCUGCUUCAACAUUUGUAUGUUCAUAUCCAUCUCUAUGAAAGGCUGAGAAGGUCUUAGCCUCUGUAAAUAUUCUUUAAACUCGGCCAUGAAGAAUAUUUUCAGGUAGAGUGCUUCUUAGAGAAGACCCUUAAUGGAAGAGGCGGGAAUUGACAGUACUAUUCAUAAGGUGCAAACAAAAUGUGUAUUAUUAGAAGA